rnacentral:misc_RNA from 1 species
UCCGGUUUGAAACCGGCAGUCGCGUUAGACAUGGUAACUAACGCCGAGGGUUGCGCUCGUUGCGGGACUUAACCCAACACCUCACGGCACGAGCUGACGACAGCCAUGCAGCACCUGUGACCGCUCCCGACUUUACGGGUGGUUCCCCUUUCAGGGUUCUACUUCGGCCAUGUCAAGCCUAGGUGAGGUUCUUCGCGUUGCAUCGAAUUAAACCACACGCUCCGCUGCUUGUGCGGGCCCCCGUCAAUUCCUUUGGGUUUUAGCCUUGCGGCCGUACUCCCCAGGCAGGGCACUUAAUGCGUUAGCUGCGACACCGGAGGGGUCGAUACCCCCGACAUCUAGUGCCCAACGUUUACGGCGUGGACUAC